rnacentral:rRNA from 1 species
GACGAACGCUGGCGGCGUGCUUAACACAUGCAAGUCGAACGGAAAGGCCCUGCUCUUGUGGGGUGCUCGAGUGGCGAACGGGUGAGUAACACGUGAGUAACCUGCCCUUGACUUUGGGAUAACUUCAGGAAACUGGGGCUAAUACCGGAUAGGAGCUCCUGCUGCAUGGUGGGGGUUGGAAAGUUUCGGCGGUUGGGGAUGGACUCGCGGCUUAUCAGCUUGUUGGUGGGGUAGUGGCUUACCAAGGCUUUGACGGGUAGCCGGCCUGAGAGGGUGACCGGCCACAUUGGGACUGAGAGACGGCCCAGACUCCUACGGGAGGCAGCAGUGGGGAAUAUUGCACAAUGGGCGGAAGCCUGAUGCAGCAACGCCGCGUGCGGGAUGACGGCCUUCGGGGUGUAAACCGCUUUCGCCUGUGACGAAGCGUGAGUGACGGUAAUGGGUAAAGAAGCACCGGCUAACUACGUG